rnacentral:lncRNA from 1 species
UAGAACAGCGGCCAGUGGGUUUUCCUCCUCGACGGAAAUCUGUGCCGUAAGGAGGGAAGUUGCACUUAACCCAAGUGGUAUUUACAUAAUUGUUGUUGCCCGUGUCUAGACCCGAGUCACCAAAGGCAAACACUGCUGUAACAUUUUUACUGCCUGUAGUAGUAGUAGUAACGUUCAACAUUGUGGAAGAAGACGAAGCCAGUCUGGUGGAAAGUAGUAGAGGUGAAGUUAGCACAAUAAGAAAGCAUGAAAGGAUCGAUAAACGUGAAGAGCUUAUGUAAUAAGUCAUCUUCCAAUUUGAUUUUGCCUCCAUUUAUAUGAAUGGAUGAAUGAUUGAUUGUCGAUGUAGGAAUUUAUACCAAGAGUGUAUAUCGAGAUCCAUAUAAUCAGCCAAAAAUAUUCAAGUGUGACGGUAUAUUUAAAGCUACGUCUGAAAUAUAAAGAGCUAGAAUGAAUUAAAUAUAUUCAAGGUGAUUCACCCUGAAAUGAAACUACGGGGGCGGAUGUUAAAUAAAACCUUCUUGAGGAUUUGACUAAGUUUUGACUCCGUAUGAUUGAUCUAAUGGUGUGAGGAUAGUUAUGUCAUUUUAUAAAGUACUAGUUUGGAUUGCCGAGCGAUGUCGCGGAAAUUUAAAUAGGAGGUCGUACGACAUUGCACACCCGUAGAGAAAGUAAUAAAUAAUUAUAUAAUUACAAAUAUAAGAUGCUGAACAAAAGAUUGUUUGAUUGGAAACGAUAAUAAAUUCGAUAAAUAUAUAAAUAUAGCAAAUAUAAAAGAGUGAAUAGUUAUAUUUACUUGUCUCAAAAUUGAGUACAUGGAAUUAGUACUUUAAUGGCUAUUUUAAACUUAAUAAAUCUUGUAAAAAUAUGGUCUCACAAAAGCGUUGAUAUAUCACAAAAUAUCGCUGUGGUGUUUGCAUAGAUGUUUAAAUACUUUUUAAAAUUAAUUCAAUUAUGUCAAUUUUGAUGUCAUUCAACUGAAAAAAUUAAAGUAAGUAACUUUGUUGAUGGAAAAUUAUAUUUAAAAAAUUAUAUAAAGAGAUCUAGAGAAAAUUAAAAAAUGAGGAUGGUUGAUUGGCUACCUGAGGUUAUUAGUGGAAGUCAGUCGACUUUUGUCAAAGGAAGGCAGAUAAGGGAUAAUAUCAUGUUGGAUUAAGGCUUGUCGGAAUUUAGUCAUGUUUAGCAUUGGGUUGAAUGGUGGGAUGAUUAUAAGUUAAAAAUUAUAUAAAGAGAUCUAGAGGAAAUUAGAAAUGAGGGGAGGAUUAACAACGGUAGGGUUCAUACCAGUUUUAGUUUUGGGUUCGGGUAAUACCUGACGAAUAUAACCUUUCGUGUAUCAUUUCGUAUUGAUAUACGUAAACUUGUAUAAAGAGACGAGGAACAAAUAAAUUUGAGGUAGGAUUGACAAUGGUCGGGUUCGGUUUCGGAUAGUUGAUAUAUGUUACCCACCCGUUGAAGUUUCGGGUUUCGGUAAUACCCACUAUAUAUAACCGCUCGGGUAGUAAAUGUCCCACCACAUCUAUACCCAUUAUUUUUCGGGCGAUUUCCAGUUAUACCAUACCCGUACCCGCACAUAACGGAUGUAGUCUCGGGUUUGGGUAAUACUCGUCGUAUAUAACCUCUCGGGUAGUAAAUGUCACACCACAUCCAUACCGCUGUUAGUUUUAGGGAGAUUUCCAGUUAUACCCUACCCGUACUCGCACAUAACGGUUGUAGUCUCGGGUUUGGGUAAUAUGUACCUGCAGUAUAUAACCUUUCGGGUAGUUAAUAUCACACCCUAUCCACACCCGUUGGUUUUCGGGCAAUUCUGAGUUAGACCCGUACCCGUACUCGUAAACAGCAAUUUGAAAAAUACUAAAACAUUUAAAAAAAAUCAAUUUAAUAAUGGGUUAUUGUUCAUAAGCACGCUAAUGAACAGUGGGGGCGCCCCGAGCUUUUAUUUUUUUAAUUUAAGUAUUCUAUUUUUCUUCAAAACUUUUAGCAACCACUAAUGAGAAAGAGCAUAUCGCACUACCCUCCUUUUUAGUCUUGUAUAGUUAGUGGGCUUAAUCCUCAUUAUUACUAGGCAGUUUGUUAUUAUCCUUAUUGUAUAUAUACUCAUGAUUUUUUCAAUAAGAUCAGUCAACCAAUAUCCAAACAUACAUGGCCUCAGAGCUAAUUUUCUUUUCCAACUCUACUCCGGUAACUAUCUUCUCCUCUCUUCCCUUCCUUUGAAUGGACGUUCCUCAUCUGCUCACCAUGGCGGCUACUGCAUCCUCUUCUCUGAAUCUUCACAUCCCACCGAUAACAAUCAAGCUCGAUAGGGACAACUAUUCUCUUUGGAAAUCAACCUCCUCUCCGCUCUUGAGAUGUUUGAUCUAGAUUCCUUUGUUCCCACUCCAAAUCCAUCGGGCGAGACUCGUAUUGCUGUUGUUGUUGUUGUUCAUGGAGCGAAUCCCUCCACUUGAAUGAUUCCCGAAUUCGUCACUUGGAAGAAACGUCAUCGCUUCGUGCUGCUUUGGAUCCGAUCAACACACUCAGAUCGCUCUUUCGCUCUUGUGGUUCAUGCCACCUCAUCUAGCUUGGCUUGGGUCACGAUUGAGAAGAGUUUUCAAUCCCACACUCGUGCCAAUCGAAUGCAGCUCAAAGAGCAACUUCAGAAGGCUCUCUAUCGAUGAUGGAGUACAUUGACAAGAAAAGGGCUAUUGUCGAUUCUCUCGCGGAAGCCCUCCCACCCAUCUCAUAUGAAGAUCUUAUCUGCCAUAUUCUCCCCGGCCUUGGUUCUGGUUAUGACCGCUUCAAGACCGCCUUCAUGAUGAUUGCCGAUCUUCUCUCUAUGGAUGACCUUGUUGGUUUCCUUCUCCAAAACGAAGUGCGCAGGACUAGAUCGAACUUGGCAAAAUGCCCUUCUUCCCACUCUAACUCUAUCGAUUCCCUCAACUACUGCGUUUGUUGCUGAUCGCCAGGUUGGACGCUUCUCCAGUCCUUGCUCUGGUUCGUGCUUCUCUCCUCAUGCUGGUUCAUAAUGCGCCCGAUCGUCCUCUCCUUGGACGCCACCAACUUGCGAGCUUUAUUAAAUUAUCGACCAUGAAGCAAUCAACUGCAAGGACCGUACAAAUUUAACGGGAUACCCUUCUCGCUGCCCGCCUCAACUUGCUCGCAACCAGCUGCGAUCGAAUCCUCGUCAGGCUUAUACUGCACAACACUACAUCUCUUCUAUAGUGGUGGCAUAGACUUCUCACCUAUUGGAAAUAUGCACCAUGGACUUGACCUUGGUGUGAUACCAAAGAUAAGAUGGAUAUGUGAGUGGACGGGAAACCUUACUUUAGCUCAGGAGCUAGCUGAAACUAGCUAGCAUCAGCUCUUCAGUGAGUUGGAUGAAGCUAGGGAUUGAUACUGAAGCUUGUCCAGCUCAACCUUGAGCUGGAUGAUAGUGUCACUAGCUGCGGUACUUAGCUGAGCUAGAGUGAAGGUCGGGAGCUAGGUAGUUGGAGUGAUAACUCUCCCACCUAGGACGAAUGGGCACAUACCCUUUCGUUUGAUUCAAACUCUUUCUGAGUUGUUUUCCCUCCAAAACCCGUAGGGACUUCAUGGCUUCAUCACCUAUCAAAGCUAGAAGCAUUGCUACUUGGAACCUCCUAAGCUAACAUUCGAAAAGAGUAUUUGCUAUGUCCAAGGUUACAGCAAUCAAGGAAAUGACAUCAUCAUUUGGCAAACUCGAGAAAGUUUGAUGGUGUGGAUUUCCAUCGGUGGCAGAAACAGAUGCACUUCCUUCUCACUACUUUGAAGGUCGUGUAUGUUCUCUCUACACCUUAUCCUCCGGAGCUCGAGGAGGAUUCGGAGACGGAUGAGAAGAAAAAGGAGGAACGAGUACAGAAGCAGCAAAAAUGGGACAAUUACAUAUGUCGUGGCCAUAUUCUGAAUGGCAUGGCGGAUUCAUUGUUUGAUAUCUAUCAAAAUUAUGAAUCAGCCCAGGAGUUGUGGGAUGCGCUGGAGUCAAAGUAUUUGGCUGAGGAUGCUUCCAGUACGAAGUUCCUGGUUAGUAAUUUCUUGAAUUACAAAAUGGUCGAUACUAGACCGGUGAUGGAGCAAUACAAUGAGAUGCUCCGGAUUUUGGGACAGUUUGCCCAAUAUGAUAUGAAGAUGGAUGAGGCCAUCUCGGUGUCGUGCAUAAUCGACAAGCUUCCUUAUUCAUGGAAGGACUUUAAGCACACGCUUAAGCAUGGGAAGGAGGAACUGUCCCUGAUCCAACUUGUAAGCCACUUGCGGAUAGAGGAGGCUCUAGGGAUGCAAGAAGGUGGGAACCUGAAGGAUUCUUUAGCUGUUCAUAUGAAAGAAGAACGAGAGCCGUCUGCUCGACGGAAGGGCAAGAAACGCUCUUGGAAACACACCAAAUGAGACUCUAACAAGAAAAUGAAAGUUUCUUGUUUGAUAUGUGGGAAAGCGGGUCACUUCAAACGUGACUGUACCACGAGUAAGAGUCUGAAUCAUGACAACAAACAGCGUCAGAAGUCUGGAUUGAAAGAUCAAGGGACACCCACUUCGAAAGGUCAGUAUUUGGACCUUGACUUAGAUAUUGAUAUGAAUUCUGUUUCGCUAAUAUCGAAAGCAUUCUAUGUAUAGGAUGACGAAGUGGCAUGGUGUAUUGACUCGGGUGCCAAUAGACAUGUAUGCAAGGAUCGUCACUGAUUCAAAACAUACGAGGCAUCGGAUGAUGAUGUUGUACUUCACAUGGGCAACGAGUCAACGGCCCCUAUUGUUGGACGUGGAUUGGCGGUGUUGGAACUUAGUUAUUGAAAACUCCUAGAGCUUAGACAUGUGCUUCAUGUUCCUAAGAUUAGGAAGAACUUAGUGUAGGGCAGUAUGCUUAACAGAUAUGGCUACAAACAAGUGUACGAAUCUGAUAGAUAUGUAUUAUCUAAGGGUGGUGUGUUUGUAGGCUUCGGCCACUAUAACAAUGGCAUGUUUAUGCUGAAUAUUAAUAAUACUAUUAUUAAUGAUCAUGCUUUCUUGGUUGGUACCUAAGACUUCUCCUUAUGGCAUGCUCGGUCAGGACACGUUAACUAUAAACGUCUAACUCAAAUGUCAAAAAAAGGGAUUUUGCCCUCUUUUGAUGUCAAUGCUGAACGAUGUAAAACGUGUAUGCUCACUAAAAUUACUCGUCAGCCUUUCACUGGUAUCCAACGGAAAUCAGCGAUGCUUGAGUUGAUACACAGCGAUUUGUUUGACUUGCAUAGCUCUCCGACUAUUGGAGGUAAGAGGUAUGUCAUCAACUUCAUUGAUGACUACUCUCGGUAUUGCUAUACUUACUUGUUGAACUCAAAGGAUGAAGCCCUUGAGAAAUUUCGUNNNNNNNNNNNNNNNNNNNNNNNNNNNNNNNNNNNNNNNNNNNNNNNNNNNNNNNNNNNNNNNNNNNNNNNNNNNNNNNNNNNNNNNNNNNNNNNNNNNNNNNNNNNNNNNNNNNNNNNNNNNNNNNNNNNNNNNNNNNNNNNNNNNNNNNNNNNNNNNNNNNNNNNNNNNNNNNNNNNNNNNNNNNNNNNNNNNNNNNNNNNNNNNNNNNNNNNNNNNNNNNNNNNNNNNNNNNNNNNNNNNNNNNNNNNNNNNNNNNNNNNNNNNNNNNNNNNNNNNNNNNNGUAAUUGAGUCUAGGGAUGCCAUCUUCGAUGAAAAUGAUUUUUCAUCAAUCCUAAGACCCAAGGAUUUGAUGUCAUCAUCAAAUGAUAUUAUGCAUGUCCCUAUGGACGAGUAGGCUCUGCCUCGUAGGAGCCAAAGACUGGCCUUGAAGAGUUUGUUGCAUACCAACUUCAAAGUAUAUCUGAUCGAGGAAUCCAGGAUGGAACUAGGAUCUCAAUACUUGUACUGCUACAAUGCUGACAAUGACCGUAGUACAUAUGAAGAGGCUAUGAGAUCGCAAGACGGUGCCUUUUGGAAGGAGGCAAUCGAUGAGGAAAAGGAUUCCAUCUUGGGAAAUAACACUUGGCUGUUAACGGAUCUCCCCAUGGGAUGUUAACCGUUAGGGAGGAAGUUAAGUGGAUCUUCAAAAGGAAGAUGAAAGUCGAUGGUUCUAUCAAUAAGUUUAAAGCUCGGUUGGUGAUUCAGGGCUUUAAACAAUGGCAUGGGGUUGAUUACUUUGAUACCUAUGCUCUGGUGGCUCGGAUCUCGACUAUUAGAUUAUUAAUAGCACUAGCAUCAAUCCAUGAUCUAGUGAUCCAUCAAAUGGUUGUCAAGACUAUGUUUUUGAAUGGAGAUCUCGAUGAGGAGGUAUACAUGGAACAACCUGAAGGUUUUGUUAUGCCUGGAAAUAAGCAGAAGGUGUGCAAACUAAUCAAGUCCUUGUAUGGACUAAAGCAAGCGCCUAAACAAUGGCAUCAAAAGUUUGAUGAUGUUGUCUUGUCACAUGGUUUUCGUUUAAAUCAGGCAGACAAGUGAGAGGAUUGGGACACAUGGCAGUCAAUAGUGUCGGGAUAUCUUGGAAUAGAUAGGAUAAACUAUUGUGUAUAUUAUCUUCAAAUACUCAAAUGAGUAGACGGGUUCAAUCCAUAGAGACACCCCUAUAUUCGAGUAUUUUGGAAUGUGUAAUGUCCUAGAUGGAAAUUCAAUCUUCGCGACAUUUUCAUUGAUGCAAGAGUUUUUGGUUGGAUAUUUGUUGUAAUUUUAGCAAAAUCACAGACUUCACUAAAAUGGGGGAGGAAUGUUGGAAAUAUGCACCAUGGACUUGACCUUGGUGUGAUACCAAAGAUAAGAUGGAUAUGUGAGUGGACGGGAAACCUCACUUUAGCUCAGGAGCGUAGGGACUUCAUGGUUGUUGCCUACAAGUCUAUCCUUGGGGAUAAUGGCGCCUCUUGGUGCAAGGUACUCACACAUGUUUGUCCUUGACCCCUUGCCUACAUAAAGUAGGCGGUGUUGUGGCAGAAAAACACACAGAAACUAACAUCUAUCCUUGCCUACGAAUUCUGAGAGUGAUUCAAGUAUCUGAAGCCUAAGAACUUGAGUGAGACGGUCUUAUCCUCGGAAGGGAUUUCCUGAUACCCAAGGCUUGUAAGGGUGGAAAUACUCUUUUCGGAAAGUGGUGCCCACGAUUCCGUCUUGAUCCUAGAUCUCAUCACCUAUCAAAGCUCGAAGCAUUGCUACUCGGAACCUCCUAAGCUAACAUCGCCCACCCUCACGAGGCAUUACUCUGUCGUUUAGUUGCUUCAUUUGAUCUUCGUGUUUCAUUCAAUAAAUUACCAUCUGUGUAUGAUUCAUGUCAACUUGGAAGAAGUACGCCUUCAUUUAAUCUUCCACACAUAUUUCUAGUCUUAAUCGCUUUGAGAUAGUUUAUUCCGAUGUUCGGGGACCUUCCCUCAUUCUUCUUGAAAUGGUAAUCGCUACUUUGUCUUGUUUAUUGAUGAUUGCACCAAAUAUGUUUGGAUAUAUUUCUUGUUUCACAAAUUGCAGGUAUCCGAUAUUUUCAACCUAGUUCCACACCACCAUUCGUGUUGUUCAGUGCAAUGGCGGAGGUGAAUACACAACCUUCGCGUCCUAUCUCGCUUCCCAGGGUAUUCAACAUCGGAUUUCCUGUCCUUAUACACCGGAACAAAAUGGAGCUGUCGAGCGUUGAAACCAUAUUGUCGUUGAAAAAGGUCUUUCUUUGCUAGCUCACUCUUCUCUGCCUCAUAUUUUAUGGGAACACGCAUUCAAAACUGUGGCCUAUCUCCAUAAUCGUACCAUCACGCCCAUGCUUCAAUACAAAUCUCCAUAUCAACGUCUCUAUACUUUAGUUCCCGAAUAGUCCUUUCUAAAGAUUUUCGGAUGCUUUUGUUAUCAUUAUUUACGGCCGUAUAACACUAACAAAAUUGAUUUUCGAUCUCUCCCUUGCAUUUUUUUAGGCUAGAUCUCGUCUCACAAGGGAUAUCUAUGCAAUCACCAACCUAGUUCUCAGCUAUAUAUAUAUAUAUAUCCCGACAUGUCAUUUUUAAUGAAGAGGUGUAUCCUUUUACCCCACAAUCUCACACUGUUCCUCCUCCCAAACCACCAGGUCCACCGGCUCUACCAAUACUCCUAAAGCAAGAUAGUACAGGCCCAACACCACCUUCCAACGGGCCCACUCCUCCUGACCCAACUCAAAAUCUAACACCACCACCUUCGCCUCCCUUACAACUCCUUCUGACCCUUCUACAAAUCCUACAUCAUCCCGUUAACAUUCAACGCAGCAACCCAAACCACCAAGCCGUCCAUCUUAUCAACGGCCCAAAAUCAAUACCACAACCAAAUACACACAACCUUCUACUUCCCACUAUCGUCCAGCUCCUCACAACCAUCAGAUGCAAACCCAGGCCGCCACCCACUCUCUCCGACCCAGAACAUUCUUAGCAGCAAUAGUCGACGAACAUUUCAAACCUAAAACUUUUAAAGAAGCAAUUAAAGAUAAUUGUUGGCAACGUGCGAUGAAAACUGAGAAUGAUGCCUUCAUUAUGUAAUGGCACUUGGUCACUUGUUCCCUGUCCUAGUAAUGUCAAUAUUGUUGGUUCAAAGUGGAUGUACAGGAACAAAUACAACUCAGACGAGAGCCUCCAAUGACAAAAGGACUGCGUUGUGGCCCAUGGAUGCAGUCAACAAACUGGUCUGGACUUCCAUGAGACCUUUAGCCCCGUGGCUAAACCGACAAAAAUCCGAGUAGCUCUGUCGAUUGCUUUAUCAAAGGGGUGGACGUUGCGGCAGCUCAACAUCAAUAAUGUUUUUCUUAAUGGGGAUCUUUCGGAAGAGGUUUACAUAGCCCAACCAAAGGGUUUCGAGCAUCCAGACUUUCCAAGUCAUGUUUACCACCUUCACAAAGCCAUCUAUGAUCUAAAACAAGCACCUAGGGCAUGGUUUAAUAAAUUAAAAAGCUAAUUAGUUGAUAAUGAUUUUCGAUCAUGUUUAUCAGACACUUCACUCUUUGUCAAUGCUACAAUGGCUGGUACGACGUAUGUUCUAGUCUCUGUCGAUGAUAUCAUUGUCACGGGAAAUAACUCCACAUAUAUUGCUUCUUUCAUCGCUGCACUGGAUCACGUCUUUGCUUUAAAGGAUAUGGGGCAUAUGCAUAAUUUGUUGGGACUCGACAUUCAACGCACCAAGACGGGGUUGCAGCUCUCGCUGAAGAUGUACAUUAGGGGCAUACUCAAAGGCACCAACAUGCUCUACUCCUACUCCAUGGCAAUACCUGCUGAUCCGCAAAAGCGUAUACUUAAAUCUGGUGACCCAGUCGAAGAUCCCAGUUAUAUAGACAAACAGUGGGCUCUUUGCAAUAUGCCACAAUUACUCGACCGGGUAUCACGUACUCUGUCAAAAAAGUGUGUCAAUACAUGCAUGCCCCGACAAAUGAUCACUGGCAAGCAAUUAAGCGAAUUCUUCGACAACUGAAUGGUACACUCAAUCAGUCUUUUCAUUAUACUCCUACAUCAACAACUCAUCUUCUUGCUUUCUCGGAUGUCGGCUGGGUCUCCGACUCCGACGGUUGCCGCUCUCAAUAUGGAUAUAUGAUCUACCAUGACAUCAACUUGGCCAGCUGGACAUCUCAAAAGCACAAGGUAGUAGCGAGAUCUAGUACAUAAGCUGAAUAUUUAUCAUUGGCAUACACCACAGCGAAAUUAAUGUGGCUUGAUCAAUUGCUUCGGGAAUCACAGAGUCCUAUGUCCGCACAACCGCUACUUUACUGUGAUAAUGCGGGGGCAAUUUUCAUGAGUAAGAACCCAAUCAUCAUUACUAGUUUAAAGCACGUCGCUCUAGACUUCCACUUCAUUCGAGAGCACGUCGAACAAGGUGCUCUCCAAGUCUUCUUUGUCUCCACCGUCAAUCAAAUUGCCGACUUCUUCACCAACCACUACCAUGAGCUCGGUUAGCAAAUCUAAAACUCAAGUUUCAAGUACGGCCCACCCUUGAACUUGUCGGGGGUGAUGAGUAAGAGCAGAUCCCACUAUCCUCCUUUCUAGUCCUGUAUAGUUAGUGGACUUAAUACUCUUUAUUAGUAGGCAAUCUGUUUUAUCCUUAUUGUAUAUAUACUCAUGAUUUGUGUAAUAAGAUCAGUCAACCAAUAUCCAAACAUACAACCACCACCACCUCCAGUAAGGGACCACCCGGCAUUUUAACAGGUUACAAAUCGUCUGUAACAGAUUACACAAGUAACAUGUUAUAACAGCUAAUAACAUGUUAUAAUCGUCUAUAAAUGAUCAAUUGAUUAUAACCAUAAUUAUCUGCUCCUUUUUCUAAAUAAUUACAUGAUGAUACUCCCAAUCUUAUCACUAUGAACACGUACAGUCAAGGCCACUAAAUUGUCUUGUAUGGAAUGUGGCGUUGUUGUGAAGGUCAAUUGUUUUGUAAAAAUGACCAAAUUAACCCUCUUGUAUUUCGGUGUAAAAAUCUCAAAACUGCUCCAUUUCCAACGAGUCAAACAUCUCUGUUUCUUUCCGCAGCACUCACGCAACAGAUUAGCAAAUGCAAGUAUAAAACGUAACAAUAGCUUUGUUAAUUUGUCUAUUCUAAUUAAAUUUGGAUUAGACCCCAAGAUAUUAUAUAGCGACCCGAAAUUAAAUGAAUAGAAAGAUGCAUUGGUGUAUAUAUGUUUGCUCAAAAGUAUAGCCAAAAUCGUCUUUUAUAUUUGGCCUAAAUAAAAAAUCUAUUAAUAUCGUAUAAAAAAUAACCGCAUCGUCACUUUCGUUAACGGAUUUAACAAAUGAGUUCGGACGUAACUCUUCGUCUAAACGACAGUUAGAUAUGCAGAGUCAGGAUUUUGACUAACGGGUGUCUUUCCUUAUAUAAAAAAAUCAACUAUAUAACAUAAAAACAACUAUCAAUCAGGGUGGAUACAAGGUGGUGCCCGGGGGCGCCACCACUCAGGGCAAUUUCGGUCAUGAGCCUUAAAUUCAUGUAUAUAUUUACAAUCUUUUCGAGUUGAGCUCAGGGCAAUUUUAGAUCCGGCUCAGUGUUUUGUUGUUUCGACUCAAUGCUCAAUACAUAUUAAUGAUCAUUUAGACUCAAUACUUGCGUUUACUAUUACUUGAUAAGAAAAAAAAUCGCCGGUGGCACAUUUAACCAUUAAGGACAACUUACUUUAACUAAAACUAGUACAACGAUGGUUUUCGGUAUAUAUUAACUUAGUAUUACGUUAAAAAAAUCAUACUCAUAAAUUGGUUAUUCGAUACACAGAUUCCGAUUCAAAUCCCACUCAAUGCAUGCUUCGAUCCUGGAUCCACCGCUACUAUCAACAACAACAAAAAAGUCAACAUCGUAAAUUUCAUAUAAUUACAAAAUAGUAACUCAAAACAUGUCCCGCAUACAACAAAUCACGAAACGAUUAUUUUUAACUAGUUAUUUUCUCAAACUAAUCAAGAAGUCGGAAUUAGAGAUAGAAGGCAACCUUGGUGGAGAACUUCCAAAGUCCCUCUAGUUUGUGCCCAGAAACGAGUAAUUGAAGACUGGCUGUUGUAUAUGGGUUAUUUUUUUCCAACUACUCCUUUUAGAAUAUUUUACUUGAUUGAUUUGUGUACAGAGUAUUAAAAAUAAUACAAAAAAGGUACAUACAUUAGUACAUCGAAAACAAGGAAAUAACUGAUUCCGACCUCAUGUAUAAGAAUUGAGUACAAUACCUUAUCAAAAAAAUAAUUUAAGAAAAAUAAUUACGAUGCAAAAAGUGAUGUUUUCAACGGAGCUCAAAUGACUGAAAACGAAUACACAUAAAUUUGAGUAUAUAGAAAAAAGGUACAAAAAUGAUUUUGGCCUCAUGUGUAAAAUAUGAAUACAACACAUUGUCAAAAAAAUAAUUUGAGAAAAAUAGCUCUGGUGAAAAAAGUUACUUUUUUUAAACGUAGCUCAUGUGAUCCAAAAAAGCGAUAACAAAACAUGAUUUUGACUUAAUCUAUUGUUCAAUUUUUUUAAAAAACUAGUACUUGAGUACAUCACAUGGCUGAAAAAUUGAGUACAUCAUUGACCAAAAAAUUGAAUAUAGCAGCAUAAGUAGUUGUAUCUAUUAUUUUGUACUCGCUUUUUAUGUACUUGUUUUUGUUAUUUUGUAUUCGUUUUGAAUAUUUUCGUUUUUAUUAUUUUGUACUCGUUUUAUAUGUAUAUUUUCAUUUUUUUUACUCGCUUUUUAUGUAUUUGUUCUUGUUGCAUUAAUGUACUUGUCUGUUUUUUCGCUUUGUACUCUACACCAUACAAAUCCUUGUACCUGAGUUUUGUGUCUUGUAGUGUUCAUUUUGGGUGUCAUUUUAUUUUCAUGUACUUGAUUUUUACUGUAUUUAUUUCUUUACCUGCUUUUGUACUCGAUUUUAUUUAAUGUACUUAUCGUUUAUUGACUUUGCACUCUCCCGUAUUUGAUUUUUCUUUAUUNNNNNNNNNNNNNNNNNNNNNNNNNNNNNNNNNNNNNNNNNNNNNNNNNNNNNNNNNNNNNNNNNNNNNNNNNNNNNNNNNNNNNNNNNNNNNNNNNNNNNNNNNNNNNNNNNNNNNNNNNNNNNNNNNNNNNNNNNNNNNNNNNNNNNNNNNNGUCUUCUUAUAGUACUUGAUUUUUAUCUGUAGGCCGAGUCAUACGAUGAUGACUGGAGUGAAUUUUGACUUUGAUACUAUGGCUACGACCACAUUGUCGACAAACCGUUGACCGAAGUGUAUAAGUUGUGUGUAAAAUUCUUGAAUAAUGGAAUCAAUUAAAACAUCUAUUCUUUUUCCUUACUGCUGACCUUGGCUCGCCUUUGUGUAUAUUGAACAAAAGAAGGUUUGAAAUAUUUGGUUGGGAUUGAACAAAAUGGAAGCUAAAGAGGAAGAAAAAAAGGAUAAAAAUUGGGAAAUGAUUUUAUAUUAAAUUGGGAUAGAAUCAUAAGAAAAGGGGAAUAUUGUUUUGCACUAUUCAUAUGCUAUUGUAUGUUAUGGGAAUAAUCUCGGUGCUUUUUCAUAUUAAUUAAUUAAUAAUUAAUCUCACAUUCAUUAGAGAGGGAUAAGGAGUAGUUGACCGAACUUCUCUUUAUUCCAAUGCUAGAUAGUGAAGUUAUUUGCAGUGAAAAACAUAUCAAUUCUGAAAUUAGAUGACACAGUGUUUUUUUUUUGAAAGAUGUCACAGUGUAUUAAGUGAGGACGACAACACGGACAAAGGGCCAUAAAAACAUACAUGGAAAAUACAUUUUAUACUUUCAUAACAUCGGAACAUGAUUUUAAUGUGUCAUGUGAAUGAAAUCUUGAAUACCAACGUGUUCCAUUAAAAUCCGAUAAACCCUUUCAGUGAGAUGGACACUAUCCCAGAAGAUGAACCCUAAAGUAUUAUGACAAGUAAACGGGCUCAGCUUAUUGCAAAGUAUAACCGUCUCGAUCAACCCUGUUCCACAACACCCUUCAUUCACAUUAACAAAUCCUGCAUUCACUUCUACAUAAUUAGUAAAAUACAAGGAGAAAUGUUCUUGUUGAAAUCAAACAACAAAGGAAAUAUGUACCGUUUUCACCGGGAUUAUGAAUGAUAUCGAAAAUAGGGGUGUAGAUAUCCACGAAUGCUAUAUUGACACCGUAGAGAUUGGUGUUCAAUUUCUCGAUCUCAGAGCUCAGCUUCUCGUUGUAUAUUCUGACUAGCUCAUUAUAACUUUCUACACAACUUCGCUUUGUGCCCCCAAAUAUUGUUCUUAUCGCCGGAAUACAUCCAACCACUAUUGGGCUUAGGACCACAAUUUUGCGAGCUCCCAUUUUAUAUAGCUGCUCCAAAGUUGCAGUCGCUUGGGUAACAAGAAACGUAGCGUACAAAGUAAUGUCGUACUUUGUGUAUUUUGUUAUUGAAUAGGUAAUUCCAAUAUCAUUGUUGGCCGAUGAUAUAAGAUAAAGACUUUUCGUCACGAUUUCUAUCGAUCUUUGCUCCCCUACCAAGCCGCUCAACCUCGCAAUGUAUUGUUCAAAUAGUUUCAGUUGAUCUGGGAUCGAGAUUGCUGACUUCGACACAUAAUUGAAAAGUAGUCAACCAAUUAGAAAUUACAUAAAGAUGAUAUAUUCGAAAUAAUUAAGAUGUAACUAUUUUUGUGAAUGUAUAUAGAGAGGAAAAGACCACUUGUCACAAGAUAAAUUUUUUGUUUUACAACAAUAAAAAUAGUGAGAUUGGAGAUUUUUUAUGGUUUAAGUAAAAAAUAGUCCUACUAUCUAAUUAUAUUUUGUUAUCGUAAAACAAAAUAAAUUUAUCACAUAUAUUGAUCUCAAAUAGUUACCGUAAUCUUUAAUGUUUCAGGGUCAUGGCCACUGCCGGCAGAAGCAAAACACACACCCGUUACUAAAUCUUCAGCUUGGAGAUUGGGGUCAAGGUAUGGCGGUAAAUAUUCUUUAACCCCUAAAUCUUCAGCUGCAAACAAAACGAAAAGGCAGUAAAACAAAACAAUCACACUGUAAAAGAAGAAGGGUAAUUAAUUAAGUAUGUUUUCACCUUGAUUUAUAUAUAUAAACAAAAUUAAGUAUGUUUUCACCUAUUAAAUCAGAAACGAGUUUUCCAUUAGAACAGCGGCCAGUGGGUUUUCCUCCCCGAGGGAAAUCUGUGCCGUAAGGAGGGAAGUUGCACUUAAGCAAAGUGGUAUAUACAUAAUUAUUGUUGCCCGUGUCUAGAACCGAGUCACCAAAGGCAAACACUGCUGCAACAUUUUUACUGCCUGUAGUAGUAGUAGUAACGUUCAACAUUGUGGAAGAAGACGAAGCCAGUCUGGUGGAAAGUAGUAGAGGUGAAGUUAGCACAAUAAGAAAGCAUGAAAGGAUCGAUAAACGUGAAGAGCUUAUGUAAUAAGCCAUCUUCCAAU